rnacentral:lncRNA from 1 species
UCGUAUAAUUAAUUAUCAUCCCAAUGUUACCGGUUCCAUUCGGGUCAGUACUUUUAUAUUUUAUAAAAAAUUAAACUAAGUUAAAUCACUACCAUGAGGAGUACGAAAAGAAAAGCACUCAAUUCUUGCAUGGUAUUGAAUUUGGGGUUUUGUCUUCUUUUUCUGUGCAUGGAGUUUUCAACAUCCUAGAAAUUAUAUUCCGUACCACGUGCACCGUAAGGUGGCGCACCGAGGGGAAAGGAGUUGCUAAAUAAUAUUCACUAUUACC